CCUACGGGUGGCAGCAGUGGGGAAUAGUGCACAAUGGGGGAAACCCUGAUGCAGCGACGCCGCGUGGGUGAAGGAGUAUUUCGGUAUGUAAAGCCCUAUCAGCAGGGAAGAGAAUGACGGUACCUGACUAAGAAGCCCCGGCUAACUACGUGCCAGCAGCCGCGGUAAGACGGAGGGGGCAAGCGUUAUCCGGAUUUACUGGGUGGAAAGGGAGCGUAGACGGCAGCGCAAGCCUGGAGUGAAAGGAUGGGGCCCAACCCCAUGACUGCUCUGGGAACUGUGCGGCUAGAGUGCCGGAGGGGUCAGCGGAAUUCCUCGUGUAGCGGUGAACUGCGUCGCUCUUAGGAGGCACCCCAGUGGCGAAGGCGGCUUACUGGACGGUAACUGACGUUGAGGCUCGACAGCGUGGGGAGCAAACAGGAUUAGAUACCCCGGUAGUC
rnacentral:rRNA from 1 species